AUUGAACGCUGGCGGCAGGCUUAACACAUGCAAGUCGAGCGGAAACGAUGUAGCUUGCUCCCGGCGUCGAGCGGCGGACGGGUGAGUAACGCGUAGGAAUCUGCCUAGUAGUGGGGGACAACAUGUGGAAACGCAUGCUAAUACCGCAUACGCCCUACGGGGGAAAGGAGGGGAUCUUCGGACCUUUCGCUAUUAGAUGAGCCUGCGUAAGAUUAGCUAGUUGGUAGGGUAAAGGCCUACCAAGGCGACGAUCUUUAACUGGUCUGUGAGGAUGGCCAGUCACACUGGGACUGAGGCACGGCCCAGACUCCUACGGGAGGCAGCAGUGGGGAAUAUUGGACAAUGGGCGCAAGCCUGAUCCAGCCAUGCCGCGUGUGUGAAGAAGGCCUUAGGGUUGUAAAGCACUUUCAGGGGUGAGGAAGGGUGUUUGGUUAAUAUCCAAACAUUUUGACGUUAGCCCCAGAAGAAGCACCGGCUAACUCUGUG
rnacentral:rRNA from 1 species